UUACUUUUUCUUCCUCCCCCACAACAAAAAAGCAACGAAUAAAUUCAUGAACAUGCCUUCUUUUGCAAGUAGGAUCGGUCUUCCAUGCAUUCUCUUUCUUCUCCGUUCUUAUAGUUUGCAGGUUUCCUGAGCGCCAGGAAACCUUCCUUUGAUUUGGGGGACCGCAUAAAACAUAGUUGCUAAUCUGCGAGGAUUCGUUCUAGGAAUCGGGGGGAAUGAGGCUAAAUGUGUUUCUGCUGAUCUUGCUUCUUCAUGGGGCCGCAGCUGUGAAGCCUCCUGCAAAGUGGCAGACCUUGAGCGGUGAGGCUCCUGUGGUUGUAGCACGAGGUGGCUUUUCUGGGAUCUUCCCCGAGUCUAGCCAAUAUGCAUACCAGAUUGCAGAGUCUACAAGUUUGAAAAAUGUGGUUCUGCUUUGUGAUCUUCAAUUAACAAAAGAUGGAGGUGGUAUCUGCCAGUCAGAUUUGAGACUUGAUAAUUCGACAACUAUUUCAUCUGUCUUCCCUAAAGGGCAGAAAACUUAUUCUGUAAACGGACAGCCUCUUACUGGAUGGUUUUCGGUUGAUUUCACU